GCAACGACUUUUAGUUUGACCCCCCGAAACCAAGUGAGCUACUCCUAAACAGCUUUUUUAGAGCCAACCCGUCUCUGUUGCAAAAGAGUGGGAUAAUUUAUGAGUAGAGGUGACAGACCUAUCGAACUUAGAGAUAGCUGGUUUUUUAAGAAAAGAAUUUUAGUUCAGCCUCAAGCUUCCCUUUAACCAAAAAAUCACCCAAGGCUUGAGAGUUAUUCAAAUAAGGCACAGCUUAUUUGAAACAGGACACAACCUAGAAUACAGGGUAAAAACAGACUAAAUUGACUAAUAAGUGGGCCUAAAAGCAGCCACCUUUCAAAAAGCGUCAAAGCUUGGUAGUGCCAAUUUUCCCAAUAACCUACAUACUUUUUAACCCGCACACACUAUUAAAUAAAUCCAUAAAGCUAUGGAAGCUAUAAUGCUAGAACAAGUAACAAGAAAAAGAAUUUCUCCAAAAUGUAAGCCUCAGCCGCAAUAGACAACCUGCCGGCGAUUAACGCCCAUGAGCCCAAUAUAACAACACUACAAGAAAACCCUAUAGACCCCCCAGCGUCAACCUUACACCAGCACAUUUAUGGAAAGAUUAAAAGAGCGGGAAGGAACUCGGCAAAUUCUGAUCCCGC
rnacentral:rRNA from 1 species